GAUCAGCCUGGUGGUCUUCUAGGAGAGCCCCUCAGUCACUGCCCUGCCUGGGACGCUGUCCAGAAGCAGCUCUAACUCCCUGCCUCGUGUCCUGGGCUCACUGUCUUCUGAGCGGGACUGGAGUUCUGAGAGGGUGCUCCGCUCCUCCUGUCAUCUCUCCCUUUCCUUCUGAGGCCCAAGGAGGAAGGCAUGCUGCGGGCUCUAGCCCUCCUUCUAGCUUUCCUGGCUCCUGCCGCUCAGAUAUCUUCCAACUUGGAAGGGACACAGAUGUCCAUCACCAGACAGGCUGGGUCAUCUGCUGUAAUCACUUGUGAUAUUCAACAAAGCAGCGACUACGUCCACUGGUACCGGUACCAGGAGGGGAUGGCUCCACAACGCCUUCUCUACUACCAGUUCUCCAGCUCAAAUGUUGUGAGGGAAUCUGGAAUCAGUUCAUGGAAAUACCAUGCUUAUGAAGGCUCAGGGAGGACCUGUGAACUUUUAAUCAAUAUUCUGGAGGAAAGGGAUUCUGGCGUGUAUUACUGUGCUGCCUGGGAGAGACACAUAAAAAAGACAUUUGGAAAAGGGACUAAGCUCACAGUAACUCCCUCUGAUAGAAGCCUUCCUGAAGACGUUUCCCCCAAGCCCACCGUUUUCCUUCCUUCAAUUGCUGAAAUAAACCUCCAUAAUGCUGGAACAUAUCUUUGUCUUCUUGAGAAUUUCUUCCCAGAUGUUAUAAGGGUAUAUUGGAAAGAAAAGAACGGCAAUACAAUUCUGGAAUCCCAGCAGGGAAAAACCAUGAAGACUCAUGACACAUACAUGAAAUUCAGCUGGCUGACCGUGACUGGAAAGUCAAUGGAUAAAGAACACAGAUGUAUCGUCCAACACAAGAAUAAUAGAGGAGGUGUUGACCAAGAGAUUCUUUUUCCUUCAGUGAACAAAGUUGUCUCCUCAAUUGUCGCUCCUACUGAUUCCUCAAUGGCUUAUCCGAAAGAGAAAAGCAAGAUCCCUGCCAUUAAUUCCACAAAAGCUUAUCUAAAGGAUGAAAGCCAGGUCACUGCUAUUAAUUUUACGAAAGCUUGUCUGAAAGAUGAAAGCAACACCCUGCAGCUGCAGCUCACCAGCACCUCUGCCUAUUACAUCUACCUCCUCCUCCUCCUUGUGAGUGCGGUCUACUUGGCCAUCAUCGCCUUCUGCCUGUUAAGGAGAACAGCAGUCUGUGGCAGUGGAAAGAGUUCGUAACAGAUGGUGGCACUGAAGACAACUUUUCUCCAUUGUUAAUUUUCCCUAAACGUGUCUCCUGAGGAUCUGGCUAGGCGUUCUCUCUGGGUUUGGGUUAUUUCAGUUGACAUGUGUAUUUUUCUAUUAUGUCAAUAUUGCAAAAUAGUUUUCUAAACCACUGGGCAAACAGAAUCUUUUACUCUGUAACAACAAUGAAUUCCUUCCAUUACUCAGUGGCAGGGCCAAGGGGUAGUCCUUUAGCAACACUCUCUCUAUGAUCUCCAUCAGCUGCUCCAGCAACCCAAAUAAUCAUGCCUUCUGAGUACAGACAGCACGCAGCUUCUAGUCACCUCCCUUAGGGCCAUUUAACCAGAUGACCACCUUGAAGCUUUCCAUUUUACACACCCUGAA